GACGAACGCUGGCGGCGUGCCUAAUACAUGCAAGUUGAGCGCUGAAGGUUGGUACUUGUACCGACUGGAUGAGCAGCGAACGGGUGAGUAACGCGUGGGGAAUCUGCCUUUGAGCGGGGGACAACAUUUGGAAACGAAUGCUAAUACCGCAUAAAAACUUUAAACACAAGUUUUAAGUUUGAAAGAUGCAAUUGCAUCACUCAAAGAUGAUCCUGCGUUGUAUUAGCUAGUUGGUGAGGUAAAGGCUCACCAAGGCGAUGAUACAUAGCCGACCUGAGAGGGUGAUCGGCCACAUUGGGACUGAGACACGGCCCAAACUCCUACGGGAGGCAGCAGUAGGGAAUCUUCGGCAAUGGACGAAAGUCUGACCGAGCAACGCCGCGUGAAUGAAGAAGGGUUUCGGAUCGUAAAACUCUGUUGGUAGAGAAGAACGUUGGUGAGAGUGGAAAGCUCAUCAAGUGACGGUAACUACCCAGAAAGGGACGGCUAACUACGUG
rnacentral:rRNA from 1 species